GACGAACGCUGGCGGCGCGCUUAACACAUGCAAGUCGAACGGAAAGGCCUGCUUUCCCUUGUGGAUUGCGGGUACUCGAGUGGCGAACGGGUGAGUAACACGUGAGUGAUCUGCCCCCAACUUGGGUAUAAGCCUGGGAAACUGGGUCUAAUUCCCGAUAGGACUGCAGGGUGGUGCCUGUGGUGGAAAACGAUUUUCUAGUGGUUGGGGAUGAGCUCGCGGCCUAUCAGCUUGUUGGUGGGGUAAUGGCCUACCAAGGCGGCGACGGGUAGCCGGCCUGGGGGGGGGACGGCCACAUUGGGACUGAGAUACGGCCCAGACUCCUACGGGAGGCAGCAGUGGGGAAUAUUGCACAAUGGGCGGAAGCCUGAUGCAGCGACGCCGCGUGGGGGAUGACGGCCUUCGGGUUGUAAACUACUUUCGACCGCGAGGAAGCCACCUGGUUGGAAGGGUGGUGACGGUAGUGGUAGAAGAAGCACCGGCUAACUACGUG
rnacentral:rRNA from 1 species